GACGAACGCUGGCGGCGUGCUUAACACAUGCAAGUCGAACGGAAAGGCCCUGCUUUUGUGGGGUGCUCGAGUGGCGAACGGGUGAGUAACACGUGAGUAACCUGCCCUUGACUUUGGGAUAACUUCAGGAAAAUGGGGCUAAUACCGGAUAGGAGCUCCUGCUGCGUGGUGGGGGUUGGAAAGUUUCGGCGGUUGGGGAUGGACUCGCGGCUUAUCAGCUUGUUGGUGGGGUAGUGGAUUACCAAGGCUUUGACGGGUAGCCGGCCUGAGAGGGUGACCGGCCACAUUGGGACUGAGAUACGGCCCAGACUCCUACGGGAGGCAGCAGUGGGGAAUAUUGCACAAUGGGCGGAAGCCUGAUGCAGCAACGCCGCGUGCGGGAUGCCGGCCUUCGGGUUGUAAACCGCUUUCGCCUGUGACGAAGCGUUAGUGACGGUAAUGAGUAAAGAAGCACCGGCUAACUACGUG
rnacentral:rRNA from 1 species